rnacentral:rRNA from 1 species
GACGAACGCUGGCGGCGUGCUUAACACAUGCAAGUCGAACGGAAAGGCCCUGCUUUUGUGGGGUGCUCGAGUGGCGAACGGGUGAGUAACACGUGAGUAACCUGCCCUUGACUUUGGGAUAACUUCAGGAAACUGGGGCUAAUACCGGAUAGGAGCUCCUGCUGCAUGGUGGGGGUUGGAAAGUUUCGGCGGUUGGGGAUGGACUCGCGGCUUAUCAGCUUGUUGGUGGGGUAGUGGCUUACCAAGGCUUUGACGGGUAGCCGGCCUGAGAGGGUGACCGGCCACAUUGGGAAUGGGAUACGGCCCAGACUCCUACGGGGGGAAGGAGGGGGGAAUAUUGCAAAAUGGGCGGAAGCCUGAUGCAGCAACGCCGCGUGGGGGAUGACGGCCUUCGGGUUGUAAACCUCUUUCGCCUGGGACGAAGCGGGGGUGACGGUAAUGGGUAAAGAAGCACCGGCUAACUACGU